rnacentral:rRNA from 1 species
UACGUAGGGUGCGAGCGUUGUCCGGAAUUAUUGGGCGUAAAGGGCUCGUAGGCGGUUUGUCACGUCGGGAGUGAAAACUCGGGGCUUAACCCCGGGCCUGCAGUGGGUACGGGCAGACUAGAGUGCGGUAGGGGAGACUGGAAUUCCUGGUGUAGCGGUGAAAUGCGCAGAUAUCAGGAGGAACACCGGUGGCGAAGGCGGGUCUCUGGGCCGUAACUGACGCUGGAGGAGCGAAAGCGUGGGGAGCGAACAGG